AUGAACGCUGGCGGCGUGCCUAAUACAUGCAAGUCGAGCGAACAGAUGAGGAGCUUGCUCCUCUGACGUUAGCGGCGGACGGGUGAGUAACACGUGGAUAACCUACCUAUAAGACUGGGAUAACUUCGGGAAACCGGAGCUAAUACCGGAUAAUAUAUUGAACCGCAUGGUUCAAUAGUGAAAGACGGUUUUGCUGUCACUUAUAGAUGGAUCCGCGCCGCAUUAGCUAGUUGGUAAGGUAACGGCUUACCAAGGCAACGAUGCGUAGCCGACCUGAGAGGGUGAUCGGCCACACUGGAACUGAGACACGGUCCAGACUCCUACGGGAGGCAGCAGUAGGGAAUCUUCCGCAAUGGGCGAAAGCCUGACGGAGCAACGCCGCGUGAGUGAUGAAGGUCUUCGGAUCGUAAAACUCUGUUAUUAGGGAAGAACAAAUGUGUAAGUAACUAUGCACGUCUUGACGGUACCUAAUGAGAAAGCCACGGCUAACUACGUG
rnacentral:rRNA from 1 species